GGCCAGAUGGCCGAGUGGUCUAAGGCGCUGUGUUCAGGUUUUGAUAUUUCAUCAACAUCCGCAGUCUUCGGACGUGGGUUCGAAUCCCACUCUGGUCA